CUUGGCUUGAUAUCUAACAGACUGAUGAAACCUCCCAAAACUCUUUCCACUAUUUUUUUACUAUCAUCUCUCGAAUCAUUCCACCACAUGUGGAGCUGCAGAUGGAUCUCGCUAAAGACUGAGAAUGGUUCAAUUUGAUUUGUGCUCAUCCUGAACAUUUAUUAAGGCGAUUAAGCAAAAGAAAAACUUUUAUUCGACUAAAGAAAAAGAUAAAACUAUUUAUAUGUUGUUUUGUGUAUUUUCAAAUUGGAAAAUAAAAGACUCAAUUUUCAAACACGGCCUUUCAGCACUUCGGAAACGAAGAUUUUAUGGUUGUGUAGUUAACCAGUCAAAAAUCACAAUUGACCCAAAAAAUGGCCAUUUACGCAAAUUCAACCUUCUGGCAUCCCGUUUGGGAACGUUGGCUAUUUUUGACAAAACAGCAUCACCUGGUUUAUUUAUCACAAAAAUUAAAAUUUUGACAUUUUUUUGGCUAUUUUUGUAAAGGGGAGGUUGGAGAUGAGGGUUGCCUACGUAUCCUACACCAUAUGAGAAUCAAACCGGCGUAGUUCGGACAAAUAAACUAACUAAUUUUGAGGCAAAAAUCUUUUCAAACCAUUUUUGACUAAAAAAACAUUUUUCCUUUCUUCCAAAUUUCAAAUUUCGGCAGAGUUCAUACAUCAUUUGGGCAUUGGUUUUCUAUACUAAUCAGUUAACUCUUCAACUUGCUAUUUUUCUCUUUUCAUCAUUUUUCUAACAUCCCCGAGAUUCAAAAGCGGUUCAACAUGCAAGCCCGAGCAAAUAAAUGCAUAGAAAACAAGUAUGAUGCAUUAGGAUGGUCUCUUCAUUUCAGGUUGCUAGCCCGUAAACGGACCCAACCCCUGUGUUGAGUCCCCUAAGUCAAAAUGCAAAUGAUGCAAAUAAGCGUUCCUACUGGGGAUCCGGAAUGAGGCUGAGUUAUGCUUGGUUCAAAAGCUGGGUGUUUGUUCUAGACCUGGCUUACCCGAGCGGACAACUCGAGGCGAGGGGGAGGCGACAAUCCGGGAAUACAGAAGCUUCGCCGGCUUUGCGACUUAUCCAAACCUCGUUCUAAAUUGGAAUUUGACACUAGACAGAAAAGAGGUCGUACACCGUACACCCUUCUUCAAUAUUCAGAAGACUCAGAGAGGAGAUGGGUUUUGGAACAAUUUAUAUACAGUUCACGUAAUUUCAAAGCGGUAAAAUCAAUCAACUAGCUCAUUAAGCACAUAUCAUGUAACAGAUAAAGCCAAACACAACAAUUAUUCUAAGCUCGAAUUCUGAACCCUGAACAAAACGUACUGGGUUCUCUCCCCAGGUGAAUCGCCAGAGCUGUCACACCUCCUUUUUAUACAUCUACCCCGAAGGAUAAUGUAUAAGGGAGUUUUUCUAUUUAAAGUGACAUUAUUCGGAUCGGGAUUAUUUAUUUAUUUAGAGCCGCCACUUGGGAAAGAUUUGGCUUUUGGUGUCUCAAGUCACCAGUUUAUCUUGAAUCCCGAACCGAGGAGAACUUCGACUUCCGAAUGGAGUCUGCGAACUAGAAAUUCUGAAUAAGGAAUUCUGUUGACUCGAGGGAAGGUGUUAGGCACCCUCGGAUCACGUGGUUCUAGCGCGGUCGCUUAAAUUGUUAUGAAUGGCAAAAUUUGAUUUUAAUACUCAGAGUCGCUGCUUGGGAUAAAUUUGGCUUUUGGUGUCCCAAGUCACCAGUUAAGCUUGAAUACAAAUCCGAGGAAAAUAUUCGACUUCCCAAUUGUAGUCUGAGAACCGGAUAUCAUUAAUAAGGAAUUCUGUUGACCCGAGGGAAGGUGUUAGUCACCCUCGGAUCUCGUGGUUCUAGUACGGUCGCUUAAAUUGAUAUGAAUGGCUAAAAUCUGAUUUUAAUACAUGGAGAGCCUAUGUUCCAAUUUUAUGUUCAACUGUUUUUAUUUAUUAAGUAUUUAUUUAAGAGAAAGUGAACGUCAUUUAAAGUGUGUUUUCGGAUUGCGCAACAUCAAAUGAACCCGCAAUCCUAGGCACACUCUAUUCAACGUUUUAGGAUUUAGAUUUAGGCAGCAUAAAAUAGCCACCCGCAUUUAGGAAUGUAAUUUUUUAAAGUCGCGUCUAAUAGAGUCUAACACGUUGCAAUCUUUUGGGAGGGCUGUGAAAUUCGCUAAAAGGCCCUUCCCGAUUUUCUAAAUAUUUUUUAAACUUUUAUUGAGGGACCCCGCAAUUUGUACUUUUGUUGGACGAUGCUCGUCUUAUUUUAUUUUAAAGGAUAAACCUAAAAGGGUAACUAUAUUUUCUAUUUUUUUUAUUUUUGUCUCUAAUAAUAAAAGAAAGAUCCUAAUUUAUUAUAUUUAAAAUUCGGGCAUUAGGUUCAAGUCCGGGUCCAAACAAAAGGACGAGCCUUUUAGCUUAAAACCCGCUACCUAACUCAAAACCCAAAUUUCAAAUACCAAUUAAUUCAUGUGAAAGAAAAUGCAAAUUUGGCCCAAAUGGCUAAGCCAUUGAGCCCAAUCAACUAUCCCAGGCGGACAGAUUUGAAGUCUGGGCCUGAACUUUGACUCAAGCCAAAAGCUGAUCAUUCACAUAAGAGAUUGGGGGAUCGAGCCCCAACGACCAAUUGGAAUAACCACCUCUCAAACUUUAUUCAAAAUCAACAAGUUAAAUGUCAAACAAUAUAAAUACUUCAAGUUGUUUCAAUUUUAGAUAUCAUUAAUUAUCAAACGUUAUUGCUUCAUGCUAAUACUUGAUCUCACUAAAUCAUGUUUCAAAUGAUGAUUAACAAAGGCCUGUUUUAAUUACUUCAUGACAUAUGCAAACAAUUAUCAAUUCUUCACAGUGAACUAUUAUAAUUUCAAACCAUGUUUCAGUUGUUUCUCUAACCAAAAAGAAGAAAUUAUGCAUAAAUAAUAUAAUCAUUGGUUACAACUAAUAACUAACUAAAUUACAAUGGAGAUUUGAGUUACCAAUUCAAAAUCCACUCAGUCUUCAUGUCAAACACCAAACUACUGUCCAGUUUAUCUUAAAUUAGACAACCCCAAAUUUUCAUGUGCUACAGAUUGAAAUAAAACAUGUUCAAACUAUAUUACAACUAUUUAAUCAAUAUGGAUUAGAUCUGGACAAAAAAACAUGAUUCAGGUGUAAAAUACUUUCAGCUUUCAUUUCCCUUCAAAAGCUACAUCAAAGCCAAGUUCAUAUGUGUACCUGAAAGUGCAAAGUAACCAAUGAAAAGAGGAGGGUCAGCAGCAAUUCAAGUAGCAAAUCACAGCAACAGGAAGCAACAAGCAGUAUCACAGCACCACUGAUUCACUCCCAAACCAGCUAAAAUAGUCACAGCAAGCUCAAAACUGACCCAGACUAAGACUCAACCAAAUGCAGCUUACUUGGAUCCAGAUUCAUUCAAACCAAGUUCACAAAUCCUAGCAAAUUAACCUAGAAAAUGAACAGGAACAACUAGAACCCGGCAAAAACUACUACAUCCAUGAAAUCUGAUAAAACAGCUUGAAAUUGAAACUCAAACAGCAAAGAACAAAAGAUCUCAAUUGAAGCUAUCUUCGAACCAAUGGAACAAUCAUCAUUUUUUGGUUUUUUGAAUGUUUUUUGUGUAUUUUUAGUUUUGGAACUGGAAAAUUAGCUGGGAUUUCUAGAAAAAUGAAGAAACAAGCACGGUCUUAGAGCUUUUUAGGCUG
rnacentral:lncRNA from 1 species